rnacentral:lncRNA from 1 species
GAGCCCAUUCUCCCGUGACGGUGACUCCAACGGUUGGCUGAGGACGAUUCCCUGAGCCUUGACAAAGCAGGAGCCCUCCGUGGCGGUGCGUCGGUGUCGAGGCUCCAGUCUGACUAAUCCAGGGGGUCGACAAAACAGAUUCGGGACACUAUGCUACACGGAGGGCCUACCAGGAUGCAGAAACAGCAGACGGAGUCCAGGGAAAGCAGUGCGGCAUCCCAGCCUCAGGCCUGCCCGUACGGUGUUCGGCAAGACAAAUCUCUCCUCUGCCUUCUCCUUAUCAGACUACUCAACAUGAAGGCAAUAAGAAUGAAGACCUCUAUGUAUAAUAAUUGACUUCCACUUAAUAAAUAGCACCUCCUACGAACCAGGAUCUGUACUUGCUGUCCCAGUUAUAAAGUAAAACAGCCUGUCCUUCCUGCACUCAAGGAGACAGCUCCAUAAGCGGGGAGCUUGUUAAAAAUGCAGAAUUUGGGGAACUAUUCACAGAGAUUUUUACUAAGUUACGUGGAAAAAAGCCUGGGACUAGCUACGAUCUCCCCUCUGGUGAUUUGGAUGUGAUAGUCUCUUAAACAUAUUUUGAAAUAUACUCGCCCAAAGAAUGGAGAAAGACCCAGCCGGCCCUCCUCAUGUGGCUGCUGAGGGAGAUAUAUGUAUAAUUAAAAAACUGCCAAAAACAAA